UGGCGAGCGGCGGACGGGUGAGUAAUACAUCGGAACGUGCCAAUUAGUGGUGGAUAACGCAUCGAAAGAUGUGCUAAUACAGCAUAAACUCUGAGGAGGAAAGGUGGGGACCCCUGUGAUGGGGCCUAUCGCUAUAUGAGCGGCCGAUGGUCGAUUAGCUAGUUGGUAAGGUAAGAGCUUACCAAGGCGAUGAUCGAUAGCUGUUCUGAGAGGAAGAUCAGCCACACUGGGACUGAGACACGGCCCAGACUCC
rnacentral:rRNA from 1 species